ACUGUCAAUAAUUGUCGCUACCAAGAAAGUGGUGGUUACCAAUACGAGCUUUAUACGAAAAGGGAAAGUAAAACACGAAAAGUACCGCGUAAACAAGCUCGGGUUCCACUGUCCAAAUUGACCGUUGGUUUUAUCCAGAUUACCCGGAUGAAUACCAAUCAGAAACAACAAACGACACUAACGACAGUUUACACUUUGACUAAAACUACACUGGACGAGAAACAAUCCUUCUUAAUUCCCUGAAGAAGACCCCAUAGAGGGUUGAAACGUUGGAUACGAGAAAA